rnacentral:rRNA from 1 species
UACGUAGGGUGCGAGCGUUAAUCGGAAUUACUGGGCGUAAAGCGUGCGCAGGCGGUUUGUUAAGUCUGCUGUGAAAUCCCCGAGCUCAACUUGGGAAUUGCAGUGGAUACUGGCAAGCUAGAGUAUGGUAGAGGAAGGUGGAAUUCCCGGUGUAGCGGUGAAAUGCGUAGAGAUCGGGAGGAACAUCAGUGGCGAAGGCGGCCAUCUGGGACAACACUGACGCUGAAGCACGAAAGCGUGGGGAGCAAACAGG